AAUAUUUUAAAUUUUAUUCUAGGCUUCUCUCUUAGAGAAGCAAUUGUCAUGGGCAGCAACAAUUGCUUCUCUAAGAGCAUUGCUGAUGUCUUUCCUCAGCAUUGUGUUAAAACACAUCUGAAUGCUCCAUCAAACUGCUAAAAUUUUGACUUUUAUAGAGAUGGUCACAAUUGCUGAUGAUCAGUUAACCAACACCUGUCUGCUACUUAACCUCAUAAUGAUCCUUGUUUUAUUUAUUUUCUCAUAAAUAGAUCACAAUUUACAUUUAUAGCACUGCAUAUAACAGUGUGACUUGCCAUCAAACCACCUAGGAGUUCAGUGUCAAACAGUUUUCAGUUCAUCACCUAAGCCAUAUGUUAGCAACUGGACCACAUACUAGCAUAAAUUCCUUCCAGCAUUAUUUGCUGUUUUUCCUUGCAAGAGUGCACCCAAACCUUUAACAGGGUGUCAUUUGGGAAUCUGUUGUAUCUAUUUGAAGAUUGCAUUCAGUUACUCAACACUUCCUUAUUUGAUCUGUAAGCCAGUUCACUAUUGUGCUUAAAAUGAUUACUGCGUAAGUAGUCCUGACAUGUUAGAACCUUGUUAAAAAGAAAGAUGAUGAAUGUUCAUAUUCAACUGAUGAAGUAGGAGAUGCAUUUUAAUUCAUUAAAUGUAUAAUAAUUUCAAAAAAGUUAUUUAAAUACUAAAUGCAAAGUGCCAAAAGUGUUUCACAUACAGGUCAUUCCAUAUCAAAUGAUCCUACUUUUUUACCUCAUGUCAUCCAAUUUUCUUAACAUUUUGUCUAUUUGUUGAAUGAUCAAAACUAAGUUUAAAUCUAAAAUUUUACAGUUACUACAAAAUACUGUACAUAGCAAACAAAAUUAUGACACCACUGGAACUCUUUAACUGGUGCCAAGAUAACACUCCUUCUACCGGGUUGUCAUUUUCAACAAAUGAGGAGUGCAGAAAAGAACAUUCCUAAAACAACCCUUUGAAACAGUGAAAUCAAUCAAGGGAAUACAAGGAUUUCAUUGCUUUGUUCCAUCUACAUCCAGGCCAACAGAAAUUGUGACCAAAGUGUACUCCUUUAGCAAUGAGAGUGAGAAGUUCGACAGUGAAGGAGGUACAAAAUCUCUGGAUACAGCUGAGAUAACUAGUGAUCUAUGCAUUAAAGCCAUCAGCAAAACCUGAGUUGAGAACAUGAGUUGAGAACAUCCACCAGUGAGAGCCAGAGGGCACACAGAAAUGAGGCUCUUGAGAGUUAAAAGGAGUUGGGCUUUGGCUGCAAUCCACACCUUGUUUAUUCUUCAGUACUCCACCAUGGUAUUUUGGGAGAAUCUGCUAAAAUGAAGGAAGAUGACUCCUUUCAGCCAACUAACUUUCACGGCUACUGGUCAAAAUAACCUUCAACCUGAGAAGAAGUUUUGGUAUCUCCUCAAAUGACUCUUUUGGUAAUACACCAAAGCAGGGGCACUGGAUAUAUGGGGCGCAAGGAGCUGACAUCCCCCACCACUGCCACAUGCUCCCCACGUGCCGCAGCCCCUGCGUGGGAGCCUAGGAGCCGGGAGGGGGCUGGAUGAGUAAGGGCAAAGGUCGCCCUCCAUGUGUCCUACCCCUGCCCAGCACAUGCCAUGGGGAGAAGGAGGCUGAGGAUGGAGCCCAGCUCAGUGUGUGAGUGCUGACAUCACGGGGGCAGGAUGCAUCCCUUGACAUCCCAUGACAUGUCACGUGAUGCACCCCCAUGUGGUGGGCAAGUUGGCAUCCCUGCACCAAAGCAUGGUAGCAGUACUGCCAGUAAGCAGAAUACUAUUUUCACUUCAAGAAGUACAGCCACAAUGAUAAUUUAAGAAUCUGCUAAAAAAGAGGAUAUUCUGGUUCCACCAAAAGUACAGUGGCUGCCAUCCUAGGCAUGCCUACCUGGGAGUAAGCUCUAGGGAACACAGGAAAAUUCUCAGCAAACAUGCAGGCACUUGGUCUUCCAGUUUCCCACCUCAGUAAAAGAGCUGACUGCUAAACCCUGAAUGAAGAAAUCCCUACUUGAAUGUAUACAUCAAAGGGGGAAUUGGCAUGAUGGCCAUUUUUAUAGUAUUUAGACACCAUUUUUCAAUCCAAUGGAAGUGACUUACAAUUAAAGUUAAAGUGCAUAGUUAUAUGACAACUCCAUGGUGAUCACCAAUAGUCAGAAUGGAUUUCUGAAAAAUAAGUCAUGUCAGACUAACCUGAUCUCGUUUUUUGACAGAAUUACAAG